rnacentral:lncRNA from 1 species
CAUACAAAAAUGGAAAAGACUCUGUCGGGGAACAACAACAUCUGCAGGGGAUACGAGUAAGUAAGGAUAAAGCUAAAGUACUUGAAUCAUGCAGGAAAAGCGAUUUCACUAAGGAAACGCGCACUCAACUCGACUGGGGAAGAAAUAAACUUCAACACAGGAGGAGCAGAAAUCUAUUAUCUACUACCUGUUACUAGGUGAGGAGAUAAUAAAGAUCUGA